rnacentral:misc_RNA from 1 species
GAAGUUUUUUGUUUUGUUAAUGAACAAUUGUGAAGUAUCCGUCAUUUUUCUCUCAUGAAUUGGUCCAGUAGUUUGCAUUUUAGUAAUUAGUUAUAUCUAUCGGAAUGAAACCCUCUUGAAAUUUUCUUUUGGGAAUAGUGUUUUCAGGACCCAGUUUUGUAAGUCUUAUCCUUCAUGGCUGCUGCUUCCUAUCCCUAAUGAGCGGAGUCUAUCAUUAUUUUGUGGAGUCGUGCUACACUGGAUUAAUGGAUGGAAUUGUUGUUUAUUGUGUUUUGGGGAGGUUUAUACAGUUUAGUAUUUAUGUUGUUUAAUAUUUUUUAUAUACAGGCUAGGUACAAAUCUCGCCAGAAUGCUACCAAACAAGAAUCUGCCGCAAAGUUCAAUGCGGAAGCUGCUGCUGAUGGAAGGCUCAAGUGGGUAGCUACCCAUGGUGCUUUGCGCAUUACUCGUCAAGAAUUCGUUCAUCCCAAGUCCUACAAUCCCGCAACAUGCCAAUUAUCU